rnacentral:lncRNA from 1 species
CGCACCGUUACGUCACAGAAGUGGCCACGGUUGCGCUGCUCGUUGAGGGUCUCGAGCACGGAAUUGCUGAAGUUGUGAAGGUUGAUGCUGUGAAUGCGCUCGGUCAUCCCCUUGCAACUGAUGUCACCUGCAGCAUGUCAACGCAGACACAAAACAGGGCAUGGGUCAGAUCUAGCUGGUUGCAUUCCUAACACCUAGGUUUCAGAGUAAAAAUACAGAGUCAGCUUGUGAUGGCAUUCCCUCAAAACAUGGAAGGAAUUGCAGUAAUGAAAGUCAUCAUGUAUUCUAAGAGACUGUUCUGCGAGAGCACAACACAGACGGGGCUAAAGCAGGGAUUGUCUAAGCCCAGUGUGGAGGAACCAUCAAGGAUUUCAGCACGUUUUUUUAGCCAUUGUGAGAAGCAAAAGUGCUCAGGAGUUAAGAGAAGCAGACGUCCGAAAUUAUCUCCAUGCAUUACCAAAAACCGUGGGCACCACGGCACGGGGAAAACUUACCAGGUACAAUGAGCCAGUGACUGUUACUGAAUUUCUUAAGAUUACACUUUUCCCAACUACUGCAGACUGCUUCAGAAUAGAAGAAGACAACUCUCAUGCCAUCAAGCCGACGGACUUUCAAAAAAAUAAAAGAUGCAUUUCUUUACUUGCAACAUCAGCUCCUGAUUUCUAGGUCUGGAUCUGGGUUCUCUGUAGCACAGGAAGGUCUCUACUUCUCCUACAUAAAUGCCUUGCAUGGCGGGAACUAAAUCAACUACACAGACCCAUACAUCCAGAGAGCAGAGGUGAGCUGGAUACAAGUGGCUUAGAGAUGUGGUGGAAGGAGGCCAGAGCUCCAAGGGAAGGGCAGCAAGGAGACAACAGCAUGGGUUGCAGCUCAGACAACAGGUAAAUAAAACCAAGCAAAGCUGCUGGUCACAGAUUUGACCAGGGUGGCAAGAAAUGACAAGCUACCAUGAGAUUCAACAGUGGCACGGAAGGAUGAUGAGAAGCAAACAGAUUAGGAGAAGCUGCCACCACCGUACAUAGAGGCACAGAUGACCAAGCAGAACAGCACCAGUCCCUGCAAGGUGUGCUCAGAUACAGCUCAGCACAGCCAUCUGGCCAGGAGGGAAUGAUAAUGCACAUGGUGUGCACUGCAGCCGGGAAGUUGAGAACCGCUGUGGGCACCUCAGGACUGAGUCUGGUUACCCUGCUGAUCCAAGAAAUGAAGCCAUCUAAAAUUUUGCCUGCUUUCACAAUUUUCUGUGUGUGUGUGUGUGUAUUAAACAAAGUGAACUAAGAAGCCUUUUAUUGGAGACAUAAUGUACUCACAGUAGUUUCAAAAUCAAUGGUGUCACUCUUCAGGUAAAUUACUCCAAG